GACAGUGGCAUAGUGGUUUGAGUGUUGGACUGCAACUCUGGGGACCAGGGUUCAGUUCCCUGCUCA
rnacentral:tRNA from 1 species